GCGUUCCAUUAGGUAGUAGGCGGGGUAACGGCCCACCUAGCCGACGAUGGAUAGGGGUUCUGAGAGGAAGGUCCCCCACAUUGGAACUGAGACACGGUCCAAACUCCUACGGGAGGCAGCAGUGAGGAAUAUUGGUCAAUGGCCGCGAGGCUGAACCAGCCAAGUAGCGUGAAGGAUGACGGCCCUACGGGUUGUAAACUUCUUUUAUGCGGGAUUAACGUGAGGUACGUGUACCUUAUUGCAGGUACCGCAUGAAUAAGCAUCGGCUAACUCC
rnacentral:rRNA from 1 species